GCCCUUCAGAGUUAGCAAGGUGGAUUGCUUUGUGCGUUUACCGUUUUACCCGGACUCUCUGGCUUGACAAACUGAGAACAGGGAAGGAACAGCUAAUUGACUGGCCAUGAAGAACUGAGGAGGCUGACCUACACCUCAAGUCUCUAUGAUGUCUUUUCAAGACAUUUAAGAAGCAUCAGCUAUUUUUCAAGCAUUGGAGAUGAGCAAGUGCUGGCCCUCAAGAAGAAUAUAAUAUCAGGAAAGAGUUCUCACCUUGAGUUCGGUGCUGAAGAUUAGCCAUGAAUUACUUGGCAACCAUGGAAAGUGACAGUUUAAGGCAGAUCUGCUCUUGGGUACUGUAACUUGCUUCAGGAUAUCUCAACAAGACCUGUCUAUGAACUCAACCUGGGGUUUGCCAAGGUACUUCAGCCAUCCAUUGACAGGAGAGGCAGCCUCUACUGAGGAACCUGCAUUAAUCCCUCCUCUCCCCCUAGAAGUGCUUCUGCUCAGAAAGCUUCCUCCAGGAGCAGUGAGGUGACACAAUAAAUAGCUAAAUAGCCGCAAGGAUUAAAAACCUAUACAAGUGGGCUUCCCUGGUGGCGCAGUGGUUGAGAGUCUGCCUGCCGAUGCAGGGGACGCGGGUUCGUGCCCCGGUCCAGGAAGAUCCCACAUGCCACAGAGCGGCUGGGCCCGUGAGCCAUGGCCCCUGAGCCUGCGCGU